rnacentral:lncRNA from 1 species
CUUUUAUAUAAUAUGGUACAUUGACUCAGCUCUGUUAUUCUUUUCAAGCAGAACCAAACACAUUGUACAAUGAAAGUUCCAACCAUGUACUGGGUUCCGAAGCUGCGCAUAGCUCAUUACAAACAAAGAUUUGUUUUGUCUUCAAGCAAUUGUUCCCCUACUAUAUAUAUCAAUAUAUAUAAACAAUACACCAAAGUUUCAUGAGAACUGCUGAAAAGAUUUUUGAGUUAUUGUCCGAAAACUGGGAAAAAAAACCCUUUUUUAAUGAAUAGAAC